CGGCCGAUUAGGUAGUUGGUUAGGUAACGGCUUACCAAGCCAUUGAUCGGUACGGGUUGUGAGAGCAAGAGCCCGGAGAUGGAACCUGAGACAAGGUUCCAGGCCCUACGGGGUGCAGCAGGCGCGAAACCUCCGCAAUGUGAGAAAUCGCGACGGGGGGAUCCCAAGUGCCAUUCUUAACGGGAUGGCUUUUCAUUAGUGUAAAGAGCUUUUGGAAUAAGGGCUGGGCAAGACCGGUGCCAGCCGCCGCGGUAACACCGGCAGCUCUAGUGGUAGCAGUUUUUAUUGGGCCUAAAGCGUCCGUAGCCGGUUUAAUAAGUCUCUGGUGAAAUCCUGUAGCUUAACUGUGGGAAUUGCUGGAGAUACUAUUAGACUUGAGACCGGGAGAGGUUAGAGGUACUCCCAGGGUAGAGGUGAAAUUCUGUAAUCCUGGGAGGACCGCCUGUUGCGAAGGCGUCUAACUGGAACGGUUCUGACGGUGAGGGACGAAAGUUAGGGGCGCGAACCGGAUUAGAUACCCGGGUAGUCCUAACUGUAAACGAUGCGGACUUGGUGUUGGGGUGGCUUUGAGCUGCUCCAGUGCCGAAGGGAAGCUGUUAAGUCCGCCGCCUGGGAAGUACGGUCGCAAGACUGAAACUUAA
rnacentral:rRNA from 1 species